CUUUUUAUAGCUGAGUAGUAUUCCACGGUGUAUAUAUACCACAUUUUCUUUAUCCACUCAUUGGUCGAUGGGUACUUAGUUUAGUUUCAUAUCUUUGCAAUUGUGAAUUGGGCUGCAAUAAACAUACCGGUGCAUGUGUCUUUAUCAUACAAUAACUUCUUUUCCUUUGGGUAAAUACAUAGUAGUGGGAUUGUUGGAAAGAAUGGCAGUUCUACUGUUAGUUCUUUAAGGAAUCUCCAUACUGUUUUCCAUAAAGGUUGUACUAAUCUACAUUCCCACCAGCAGUGUAAAAGCAUUCUCCUUGCACAACAUCCAUGCCAACACUUGAUUUUUGACUUUUUAAUAAUGAUUAUUAUUGGGAGAGUAAGAUGGUAUCUCAUUAUGGCUUUAACUUUCAUUUCCCUGGUGAUGAGUGAUGUUCAGCAUUUUUUCAUAUGUUUGCUGGCGAUUUGUAUAUCUUCUUUUGAGAAAUGUCUAUUCAUGUAAUUUGCCCACUUUUUGAUAGGAUUAUUAUGGGUUUUUUUUUUUUUUGCCAAUUUGUUUGAGUUCAUUGUAGAAUCUGGAUAUGAGUCCUUUGUUGAAACUUUCAAAUAUAUAUUUUAUUAGUUGUUUGUCAUAAGUGAAACAAGCAUGUUGCAUUUGUUUUCUACAUGUAUGUCUUAUUCACUAAAACUGUAUAUUAAGUCUUAUUAACUGUAUAGUUAGCCUUAUUCAUUAAAACUGUAUUCCUAGGGGAAACGAGUGUGGUAUAUUUUUAUAUUUUCAGGAAGCAGAGAUUUAGAAUCCUAGGAGAUCAGAACUGAAAUGGAACCUUAUUAGUCACGAGGUCCAACUCCAUUCCUUUCCAGACGGAGUAACUGAGGUCCAGAGAGAUUUAGCAACUUGUCGGAGGUCACACAGCCCGUAAGUGACAGGGCUGGGAGUGGAACCAAGGUAUUUUGGCCUGUUGGCCAUGUGUCAUUAUUUCUUAAGCUGCCAGGCCCAAGGUGCAGAAUGGAAAAAAUAGGUCUUUCCAGGCUGGGAUAUGGAGCUGGGGGACCGUCCUGCCUCGGGUCAUUUCCUCUCUCCCGACCGCCUUUGGUAGCUUUGAAGCCCAGUAAGAUAGGACAAAGGUCUCGCAAGGCUCUCUGCACACCGCAGUUAGAGGCAGGACAGUCUGACAAGGGACACGAAAGAUGUGUUUUCUUUGAGCCGCUGAAAAAACCGCCCUCCAAAGGGUGGGGGAGGUCUCUGGAGAUCGCUGCCUGCAGGAAGAAAGGGGUGUCGCCAGUCCUACACUGAAAGGGGGAGGGCAGUUCCAGACUCUGCAUCUCUGAAGCUGCGCACGCCCCUGCUGGUCACUGGUGGCCGGGGAGGUGGAUGCGCCAGUGACCCAGGAGAGGGCACAGAGAAACUAGCGUCCUGGCCUGCGCUUCGGUGCUGCGCGCC
rnacentral:lncRNA from 1 species